AAACAACAACACGAAGGCAUUUUUGCUCCCAUUAGUUCCUAGUGAAAUAUUCUAUAAUAUUUUAAUAAUAAGGCAGCGGUAAGCAUCCGCCAAAAACAUCAUCGGAGAGUUUACCCUGCUGGUUAUGGGGAGGUUGAUCUGACCUUCGGAUUCUUUUCCAUGUAAUGAAAUUCCAUUCGGAAAUGUAAUUCUGCUACUAAUUCUGGGAAAAAAGUUCCUGGCUAUUCACUAGGUAUAUAGUGAAAUGUAAGUACUACUUUUCAACCCUGAGUUGGUCCCAUCGAUGAUUGGCAACAAUAAUGUGCUAAACAUUCGGUUUGAAGAUGAUUUCACUCAUCCAAGAUUCAAAAUUGCGCAGUUCUGAAGAAACAAGAUGAGUCUACGUGGGAAACUUCUGGGAAGCGUAGGAUGAGUUGUAUCCGAUGUAUACGUGGCGAUUCUUGAGAUAUGUUUCACAUUGGAUUUCAUAUUGACUGGAGAUUUAUGGCAAAAAAAUGUAUGCAUGUGAAUGAAUAAUAGAGAAAUUGAU